UACGUAGGGUGCGAGCGUUAAUCGGAUUUACUGGGCGUAAAGCGUGCGCAGGCGGCCCGCUAAGACAGGUGUGAAAUCCCUGGGCUCAACCUAGGAAUUGCGCUUGUGACUGGCGGGCUCGAGUACGGUAGAGGGGGGUGGAAUUCCUGGUGUAGCAGUGAAAUGCGUAGAGAUCAGGAGGAACACCGAUGGCGAAGGCAGCCCCCUGGGCCUGUACUGACGCUCAUGCACGAAAGCGUGGGGAGCAAACAGG
rnacentral:rRNA from 1 species